GUGCUCACUUUGGCAGCACACAUACUAAAAUUGAAACGAUACAAAAGAUUAGCAUGGCCCCUGCGCAAGGAUGAUACGCAAAUUCGUGAAGCGUUCCAUAUUUUU
rnacentral:snRNA from 1 species